rnacentral:rRNA from 1 species
GGGCCCGCACAAGCGGUGGAGUAUGUGGUUUAAUUCGAUGCAACGCGAAGAACCUUACCAGGGUUUGACAUCCUGCGAAUCUCUUGGAAACAGGAGAGUGCCUUCGGGAACGCAGUGACAGGUGGUGCAUGGCUGUCGUCAGCUCGUGUUGUGAGAUGUUGGGUUAAGUCCCGCAACGAGCGCAACCCCUAUCCUUAGUUGCCAGCAUUCAGUUGGGCACUCUAGAGAGACCGCCGGUGAUAAACCGGAGGAAGGUGUGGAUGACGUCAAGUCAUCAUGCCCCUUACAUCCUGGGCUACACACGUACUACAAUGCUACGGACAAAGGGCAGCAAACUCGCGAGAGCUAGCAAAUCCCAUAAACCGUGGCUCAGUUCAGAUCGUAGGCUGCAACUCGCCUACGUGAAGGAGGAAUCGCUAGUAAUCG